rnacentral:rRNA from 1 species
UACGUAGGGGGCAAGCGUUGUCCGGAAUCAUUGGGCGUAAAGCGCGUGUAGGCGGCCCGGUAAGUCCGCUGUAAAAGUCCAGGGCUCAACCCUGGAAAGCCGGUGGAUACUGUCGGGCUCGAGUCCGGAAGAGGCGAGUGGAAUUCCUGGUGUAGCGGUGAAAUGCGCAGAUAUCAGGAGGAACACCGAUGGCGAAGGCAGCUCGCUGGGACGGUACUGACGCUGAGACACGAAGGCCAGGGGAGCAAACGGG